rnacentral:rRNA from 1 species
CGAACGCUGGCGGCGUGCCUAAUACAUGCACGUAGAACGCUGAAGAGAGGAGCUUACUCUUCUUGGAUGAGUUGCGAACGGGUGAGUAACGCGUAGGUAACCUGCCUUGUAGCGGGGGAUAACUAUUGGAAACGAUAGCUAAUACCGCAUAACAAUGGAUGACACAUGUCAUUUAUUUGAAAGGGGCAAUUGCUCCACUACAAGAUGGACCUGCGUUGUAUUAGCUAGUAGGUGAGGUAAUGGCUCACCUAGGCGACGAUACAUAGCCGACCUGAGAGGGUGAUCGGCCACACUGGGACUGAGACACGGCCCAGACUCCUACGGGAGGCAGCAGUAGGGAAUCUUCGGCAAUGGGGGCAACCCUGACCGAGCAACGCCGCGUGAGUGAAGAAGGUUUUCGGAUCGUAAAGCUCUGUUGUAAGUCAAGAACGGGUGUGAGAGUGGAAAGUUCACACUGUGACGGUAGCUUACCAGAAAGGGACGGCUAACUACGUG